CCUACGGGAGGCAGCAGUGAGGAAUAUUGGUCAAUGGGCGUGAGCCUGAACCAGCCAAGUCGCGUGAGGGAUGACGGCCCUAUGGAUUGUAAACUUCUUUUAUAAGGGAAUAAAGUGUGGCACGUGUCCUUUUUUGUAUGUACCUUAUGAAUAAGGAUCGGCUAACUCCGUGCCAGCAGCCGCGGUAAUACGGAGGAUCCGAGCGUUAUCCGGAUUUAUUGGGUUUAAAGGGUGCGGAGGUGGGAUUUUAAGUCAGGGGGGAAAGUUUGCGGCUCAACCCUAGAAUUGCCGUUGAUACUGGUGGGCUUGAGUAUGUUUGAGGCAGGCGGAAUGCGUGGUGUAGCGGUGAAAUGCUUAGAUAUCACGCAGAACUCCGAUUGCGAAGGCAGCCUACCAAGCCAUCACUGACGCUGAUGCACGAAAGCGUGGGGAUCAAACAGGAUUAGAUACCCCUGUAGUC
rnacentral:rRNA from 1 species